rnacentral:tRNA from 4 species
GGAGGAAUGCCCGAGUGGUUAAAGGGGACGGACUGUAAAUCCGUUGGCUAUGCCUACGUUGGUUCAAAUCCAACUUCCUCCACCA